AUCCAGCUGACGAGUCCAAAAUAGGACGAAGCGUGAGUCCUGUUU
rfam:Schistosoma mattheei strain Denwood, Zambia genome assembly, scaffold: SMTD_scaffold0008812